rnacentral:lncRNA from 1 species
CUCUGUUUGACUUUGCAAUAGAAUAGAAGUUGUUUAUAAAACCACAGUAAAUUACCCUGCAAGCCCUCAUUCACACGAGUUGUCCUAUUGCAGCCAGUGGCAUUGUACACCUGAGUGUUUGCAGGAUCAGCCAUUAUAUAAAAUAGAAAAAUCCUACCAGUGCCCACUCUAAAUAACUCAGGUGCCAGAACAGAGGGAAUGUGCAACCCAGGGUGUAUGGGGAGUAGAGGUGGGCUGUCCCAAGGUGACCUAUUCCAGCUGGCUGGCUGGGUUCCUUAUUCCUUACCCUCUCUGGAGCUGGGUCUGGAGGAUUCACACAGCACUAGACCCUGCUGUGUAGCCCUGUCGGCUCCACCUCCAAACCAUCCCAAGCCAACAGCUCUCAGGAAACCCCAAGAUGAUGCCGCCCUCUUGGCUGCAGAGUCAGUGGGGGGCUCUCCAGAGCUAAAAGUGGGAGCUGCCCUGCUCCAGCUUGAGCAAGGCUCUGUAGCUGUCCCGAGACUCUACCGCCGCAGGCUGAAACAGCGCUUAUCCUCUGUAGAGCGGCCCGGAGGGUGUCCUGUAAUGCACUCCCCAGUGGGUUACACCAGUGGAGGCAGGCUCUGUGCCGCUCUUGGAGUUGUAAGCGCCCUUUGUGAUCUCCCCAAAUCCUUCCCCCGCCUUGCACAGUGUAACAGCAGCUGUUGUGCUUCUAGAGGCUGGGGAGGCACGAGGCAGUCACAGGAUUUGCUCUGCAAAGUUUUCACGUACAGUAGAACCUCAGAGUUACGAACUGACCGGUCAACCAGACACCCCAUUUGGAACCAGAAGUACACAGUCAGGCAGCAGCAGCAGCAGAACACACACACACGCACACACACACUCACACACACACACACAAACACGCGCGCGCACACACACACACCACAUCUAGUACAGUCCUGUGUUAAAUGUAAACUACUAAAAAAUAAAGGGAAAGUUUAAAAAAAAGAUUUGACAAGCUAAGGAAACUGUUUCUGUGCUUGUUUCAUUUAAGACAGUUAAAAGCAGCGUUUUUCUUCUGCAUAGUAAAGUUCCAAACUUGUAUUAAGUCAAUGUUCAGUAGAA